rfam:Rattus norvegicus chromosome 1, whole genome shotgun sequence.
GGGGAUUUAGCUCAGCGGUAGAGCGUUUGCCUAGCGAGCACAAGGCCCUGGGUUCGGUCCCCAGCUCUG